AUGUCAGCUCACCAUCUGAUACAGAGCAACAUCAGAGAAACAGGCAGCUCUGCCUGGAGGCUGCCACCCCCUUACAGACACCUUGAAAGCAGCAAUGGUGAGAUCCAGGCGAUAUUGGGAGCAACGCAGCAGGGGAUGCUCCCAGCGGAGGCCGAGAGUCAGAGGCAGGAGACGAAAAAGGAGGCAAGGGAGAAUGAGGAGAAGGGCAGGAGGGAGCAAGAAGUACCAUUACAGGAGGUUGAGCACCACUGCCCUGGAGCAGUAGGGACCUGCAGGUGUGGAUUUCCUGCCGGGAGGGUCUGUGUCACACCCCACCAAGGUCACAGGGAGAUCUCUGUCACCUCACAAACCUUUGACAUCACUGGUGGAGCCUCUGAAGGUCAGGUGGGGUCAGAGCACAGAUGGGACUCCUAUCCCAUUCCUGUUCAAACACUCAUUGGGGAACUUUUUCAGAUUUCAGCGUCAGUCUUUUGGCUACUUUCUCCUUGUGUGUGUAUAUGUAUGUGUGUGUAUGUAGGGAGGGAGUCAUACUGGCGUUUUUUGGAACUGUUCGGUUACUUGCCUUUUUUUUUUUUAAUUUCCUUUUCAUAGCAUUAUUAUUCCAUUAAUAUUCCUGAAAGCCAAGCCUUACUCCGAUGGGCUCUCAUGAUUAAAGAUUAAAUGUUGCAGAGGAGAUGACAGUCCUCACAUGUGCCAAUGAGUCAGUGAAUUCCUUUGUGAAGCCUAAGUCCAUCCAGAUGUUGACCUCAGCUCUGAUGCUAUGUUCUUUGCCUAUUUUCCUCUAGUAUUUCUGGGUCUAUUUAAGAUGGGUAUGACGUGACCAUCAAUGAAGAAAGACAGGCUCUCUAAGAGG
rnacentral:lncRNA from 1 species